UACGUAGGGUGCAAGCGUUAAUCGGAAUUACUGGGCGUAAAGCGUGCGCAGGCGGCUUUGCAAGACAGAUGGUGAAAUCCCCGGGCUCAACCUGGGAACUGCAUUUGUGACUGCAUGGCUAGAGUACGGUAGAGGGGGAUGGAAUUCCGCGUGUAGCAGUGAAAUGCGUAGAUAUGCGGAGGAACACCGAUGGCGAAGGCAAUCCCCUGGACCUGUACUGACGCUCAUGCACGAAAGCGUGGGGAGCAAACAGG
rnacentral:rRNA from 1 species